CAAUAGCGUAUAUUAAAGUUGUUGCGGUAAAAAAGCUCGUAGUUGGAUUUCUGUUGAGAGCGACCGGUCCAUACCAUGUAUGCGUAUCUGGCUUGCUCUCGGCAUCCUCUCGAUAGACGUUACUGCGCUUGAUUGCGUGGUGCGGAUCUCGGGACUUUUACUUUGAGGAAAUUAGAGUGUUCACGGCAGGCUUUCGCCAGAAUACAUUAGCAUGGAAUAAUACUAUAGGAUCUUGGUUCUAUUUUGUUGGUUUCUAGAAUUGAGAUAAUGAUUAAUAGGGACAAUUGGGGGCAUUCGUAUCAACACGUCAGAGGUGGAAUUCUUGGAUUGUGUUGCGACGAACUACUGCGAAAGCAUUUGCCAAGGAUGUUUUCGUUGA
rnacentral:rRNA from 1 species